rnacentral:rRNA from 1 species
CCUACGGGUGGCACCAGUGGGGAAUUUUGGACAAUGGGCGCAAGCCUGAUCCAGCAAUGCCGCGUGAGUGAAGAAGGCCUUCGGGUUGUAAAGCUCUUUUGUCAGGGAAGAAACGGCCUGGGCUAAUAUCCUGGGCUAAUGACGGUACCUGAAGAAUAAGCACCGGCUAACUACGUGCCAGCAGCCGCGGUAAUACGUAGGGUGCAAGCGUUAAUCGGAAUUACUGGGCGUAAAGCGUGCGCAGGCGGUUUUGUAAGUCUGACGUGAAAUCCCCGGGCUCAACCUGGGAAUUGCGUUGGAGACUGCAAGGCUGGAGUCUGGCAGAGGGGGGUAGAAUUCCACGUGUAGCAGUGAAAUGCGUAGAGAUGUGGAGGAACACCGAUGGCGAAGGCAGCCCCCUGGGUCAAGACUGACGCUCAUGCACGAAAGCGUGGGGAGCAAACAGGAUUAGAUACCCGCGUAGUC